rnacentral:misc_RNA from 1 species
GAUGAAGAACGCAGCGAAAUGCGAUACUUGGUGUGAAUUGCAGAAUCCCGUGAACCAUCGAGUCUUUGAACGCAAGUUGCGCCCGAAGCCAUUAGGCCGAGGGCACGCCUGCCUGGGCGUCACACGUCGUUGCCCCCCCAUCUACUCCUUCGGGAUUGCGGGGGGCGGAUGAUGGCCUCCCGUGCGCCUCGCCGCGCGGUUGGCAUAAAUGCCAAGUCCUCGGCGACGCACGCCACGACAAUCGGUGGUUGCGAAACCUCGGUUGCCCGUCGUGUGCGGUCGUCGCGCAUCGAGGGCUCGAAAAAAUUGCCGGGUUCCGGCUCGGCUUUCAACGCGACCCCAGGUCAGGCGGGGUUACCCGCUGAAUUUAAGCAUAUAAUAAGCGGAGGA